CGUGCCUAAUACAUGCAAGUCGAACGGUCUUUUCUAUGGAAGCUUGCUUCCACUGAGAAGAUAGUGGCGAACGGGUGAGUAACACGUGGGUAACCUGCCCAUAAGAGGGGGAUAACAUCCGGAAACGGGUGCUAAUACCGCAUAGUUUUCUUGAUCGCAUGAUUGAGAAAGGAAAGACGGCCUUUGUGCUGUCGCUUAUGGAUGGACCCGCGGCGUAUUAGUUAGUUGGUGAGGUAACGGCUCACCAAGACGAUGAUACGUAGCCGACCUGAGAGGGUGAUCGGCCACAUUGGGACUGAGACACGGCCCAAACUCCUACGGGAGGCAGCAGUAGGGAAUCUUCCGCAAUGGACGAAAGUCUGACGGAGCAACGCCGCGUGAGUGAAGAAAAGGUUUUCGGAUCGUAAAACUCUGUUGUCAGAGAAGAACAAGUUGGAGAGUAACUGCUCCAGCCUUGACGGUAUCUGACCAGAAAGCCACGGCUAACUACGUGCCAGCCGCCGC
rnacentral:rRNA from 1 species